rnacentral:rRNA from 1 species
UACGUAGGGUGCAAGCGUUAAUCGGAAUUACUGGGCGUAAAGCGUGCGCAGGCGGUGAUGUAAGACAGGUGUAAAAUCCCCGGGCUUAACCUGGGAACUGCAUUUGUGACUGCAUCGCUGGAGUGCGGCAGAGGGGGAUGGAAUUCCGCGUGUAGCAGUGAAAUGCGUAGAUAUGCGGAGGAACACCGAUGGCGAAGGCAAUCCCCUGGGCCUGCACUGACGCUCAUGCACGAAAGCGUGGGGAGCAAACAGG